ensembl:lncRNA
CCGCUACUUAGCUCAGUGAGCUUAACAGCUUUAUUUCCGCUCUGAAAUAGCAAGGCUUCCUUCCAGCACACAGAGUGGAUGUUCUAAUGGGCUGAGCAGAGCAGGGUGGUUUAAAACACAGGGAAAUGGAAGGCAAAUCACCCCCGACCCCACCCCAUCCCCCCAAAAAGAAGGACCAACCAUUUCAAAGUUAUUUUCCUUGUAAAGUGGGGGGACUGGAGUCAGCAGGACUGAAGGCCUCUUCUUAAAGGUUGUGGCAAGCUUUCCUGGUGCCAAGGCCUCUGCACGUUUGAACAGAGCUAUCAACACAAACCUAAAGCCCCUGCUGGUGAUGAGGCUGCGAUAGGAAGAGCCCCAUGGGACAGGUGCUCGGUAAAGGUGUUCAUUUAAGGAGCAGUGCAGUUGGGGAUGCACAGUUAUCUACCUAGUAAUGCAUGGAGUGUGGCGCAGCUAGGUCUUCAGAUGCCUUCCCAUCACAAGUACCACCUUCACCAUGGCUACCAUUUGCCAGAAUGGCUUUUAAAGGCAGAGUCAAGAGACCUACUCAGAGGAGGAUGAGAACGUUUCAGGAAUGGCAGUAAGGGGUCAGUGCCUUAUUCAGCCAUCAUCAAAGAGGCUUCUUCCUGCAGCAGAUGGGAACAAAUACAGAGACCACACCCAGACAUCAUACAAAGAGAGGGACCUUGGAACACAUGUCUCUAAAUAAAGGAGAUGUCUCCAUCAAAUUCUUCCCCUUGAGAAAGUGGAAGAAGGAAGACUGUGAGAGGCAGAGGGAUGGAAAAUACCAGGGGAACUACAUCCUUCUAAAGCAACUGAGAAAAACUCAUGUGAACUCCUUUCCCCUAGCUGGGCUGUCUUGUGUGGCCUUAGUGAGAGAAGAUGCAUUUAGUCCUACUUCGACUUGAUGUCCCAGCUCAGGAUGGUCCCUCAAGGGCAGGUCCCCUUCUCAAAGGAGAAGGGAAUGAGCCUAAGUUAAGGAAGAGGGCAGACAACGACUUAAAUUUUUCAAACCAGAAGAAAAACGAUCCUGGCCUUCGUGGCAUCCCAGCAACAUCUGAACAUACAGCCUUAUCCUGCCCUGGUGUCAUCCAGGUAAACGUGCAGACACCGAGAACAGAAAGGCCUUAGUCAUCAGCUUUUCAAACUGAUGGCACUGGAAAAACAAAUGCCAUCACUUCUGAGAUUCGCAGGCAGGAAAUUCGUUUUCAACCCUGGGCAAGGUCAUGUCUGCCUACUUAAUGCUAAUUCUGAUGCAAGCUGACAACACUGUGCUGUCUUUGCCUUUCGUUAAUAUACCUCAUGGUAUAUUAACCCCUCCAAGGAGAGAGCCCUUACAUGGAGGAGGAGAUAGUUUUCCAAGUUGACCUGUUUUGCUUUGCAUCUACAAUUUGAAAACUGAAUGUCUAGCGCUCAGAGAUUCCAC